rnacentral:rRNA from 1 species
AUAUCAAUAAGCGGAGGAAAAGAAACCAACAGGGAUUGCCUCAGUAACGGCGAGUGAAGCGGCAAAAGCUCAAAUUUGAAAUCUGGAGCCUUCGGCUUCCGAGUUGUAAUUUGAAGAGGAUGUUUCGGUUGCGGCUUGGGCCUAAGUUCCUUGGAACAGGACGUCAUGGAGGGUGAGAAUCCCGUAUAUGGCUCCCGGCUUGCUUCCAUGUGAAACUCCUUCGAAGAGUCGAGUUGUUUGGGAAUGCAGCUCAAAAUGGGUGGUAAAUUUCAUCUAAAGCUAAAUAUUGGCGAGAGACCGAUAGCGCACAAGUAGAGUGAUCGAAAGAUGAAAAGCACUUUGAAAAUGGGGUUAAAUAGUACGUGAAAUUGCCAAAAGGGAAGCGCUCGUGGCUAGACUUGCGCGGGGCAGAUCAGCCUGCUAUAUUGUAGGUGUAUUCUUUCUCGUGCAGGCCAGUGUCGGUUGGUACUGGUGCGGAAAGGUAGCGUGAAUGUGGCUCCUUUAGGAGUGUUAUAGCACGUUACAUAAUUCGCUGGUGCCGUCCGAGGACCGCGCUUUUUGCAAGGACACUGGCAUAAUGGCCACUAGCGG